GAAGGAACUAGGCAAAAUGGUGCCGUAACUUCGGGAGAAGGCACGCUGAUGGUAAUUGAAGUCCCGUGCGGAUGGAGGUGAAAUCAGUCGAAGAUACCAGCUGGCUGCAACUGUUUAAUAAAAACACAGCACUGUGCAAACACGAAAGUGGACGUAUACGGUGUGACGCCUGCCCGGUGCUGGAAGGUUAAUUGAUGGGGUUAUGCGUAAGCAGAAGCUCUUGAUCGAAGCCCCAGUAAACGGCGGCCGUAACUAUAACGGUCCUAAGGUAGCGAAAUUCCUUGUCGGGUAAGUUCCGACCUGCACGAAUGGCGUAAUGAUGGCCAGGCUGUCUCCACCCGAGACUCAGUGAAAUUGAAAUUGCCGUGAAGAUGCGGUGUACCCGUGGCAAGACGGAAAGACCCCGUGAACCUUUACUAUAGCUUGACAGUGAACAUUGAGCCUUAAUGUGUAGGAUAGGUGGGAGACUAAGAAGCAUGCACGCCAGUGUGUGUGGAGUCAACCUUGAAAU
rnacentral:ncRNA from 2 species